rnacentral:rRNA from 1 species
AUUGAACGCUGGCGGCAGGCCUAACACAUGCAAGUCGAACGAGUGGCGGACGGGUGAGUAAGGUCUGGGACACUGCCCGAUGGAGGGGGAUAACUACUGGAAACGGUAGCUAAUACCGCAUACCAUCGGCUAUGCCCAGAUGGGUUUAGGUAGUAGGUGGGGUAACGGCUCACCUAGGCGACGAUCCAUAGCUGGUCUGAGAGGAUGACCGGCCACACUGGAACUGAGGCACGGCCCAGACUCCUACGGGAGGCAGCAGUGGGGAAUAUUGCACAAUGGGCGCAAGUCUGAUGCAGCCAUGCCGCGUGUAUGAAGAAGGCUUUCGGGUUGUAAAGUACUUUCAGCAGGGAGGCGUUACUCGCAGAAGAAGCACCGGCUAACUACGUGCCAGCCGCCGCGGUAAUUC